GGGAAGGUGGGAGUGUGCAGGCAGGAGAGCUGUGUCUGCUUGGUUGUCAGCUGGAGCGAGUCCGGGCUCAGACCAUCGACAGACCAAGCAGGUGGAGGAGAUGCAGCUCCGCUGGACAAAGCGCUUGCUGUUGCCUCGAGGAGUCCAGAUAUCAUAUUAGGCGAAAUUCCCACUACGGCUGUCAAAAGCGGUGCGCUUGCAGGAAGACCUAAUUGUUUCUGCCUUUCAUUGGAGGGCUGUGCGCUGUUAUUGCCUACCCGUGGCUUCGGCAGGGGAUUGGAAGGGCUCGGACUGCCCAGCUACCGGGAGCUGGCGGAAGAAGGUUUGUUUGUGUUGGAGGCGGCGGGUCACAUUUCAGCGCGUGGUGCGGGGAGUCCGGUCGGGAGGGAAGCGAAAGCACGAAUGGUCAGUGAAGGGGGCGUGCAGCCCGCGGGGGAAUUAGCUCAAAUGGUAGAGCGCUCGCUUAGCAUGCGAGAGGUAGCGGGAUCGAUGCCCGCAUUCUCCAGCGGCCGGGCCGCUCUUUUGAAUUCAGAUCCGUUUUCCUGGAGCAGUGUCGUAAGGAUUAAAUUGAAUUAGUUUGGAGACGCGUUUGCAUAGUAGGAAGUCUUUAAGUUGUUAACGUUGAUCAGAGCUGAGCUUUUUUUUUUUUUUUCAGGUGCAAAUUAUUUUCUUCUCAUGGCUAGAAGGAGACAUUAGAUGAGAGACUGAGUGUAACUUGAAAGUCACGUUAGGAACACGCGUGCCCUGCCCAGCCUACAGCGAUACACUAAUUCUGUGGUGAGCUGAUGAUUUAUGUGGAGAACUACACACUUUUACAUCUUCGCAGAGACAAUUUCAGUAACUUCGCAUCAUUAAAAAGUGAUCAUGAAUGCUCACAUUCAGUGCAGUGGUAAGGGACGGGGAUGGCUAUAUUUUUUUUUCUGUAUGACGGAGUAACAGCGUUAGUUCAGAUGGGUUUGUGAAGAAAUUGUUUCUCAGAGACAAGUGCUCCGGUGUAAUCUCAAACUAACGUUUCUUCUUCUCCCCUUCCGGUUGCCGCGCGAGGUGGCCUGUGCUACUGCUGUGGAUUUUCUACCACAGCCCUGAGACUGUUCAUGGCAGAAAAUCUUUUCCCGCCGCGGCGCUGCGGCCGAUCAAAACACUGGAGAAUGCGGGCAUCGAUCCCGCUACCUCUCGCAUGCUAAGCGAGCGCUCUACCAUUUGAGCUAAUUCCCCCUGCCGCGGGUACUGCGGGGCCACUGCACUCGUGCUGGAUCCCCUCUUGGCCGCUUCGGCUGCAGCUACUGUGUGCGGUCGCUCUCUCUAACUGAGCCACCUGUGAAUUUACAUGGAAAACCCGGUGGCUGAAAAGCCAGGCUAUGCACUUGACGUAUGAAGAGCAUUUUCUCCUUGGAUAAAACAGCUCGUUUUCCUGAGAACGCACCCUUCAGUGUUUAUUCAAGGAGAGAGAACUCUUGUUCUUACAUCUCUUGCAGUGCAAAUACAAAAAGACUUGUAAAUCUAGAAAGACUACUCUUAGAAGUCACCCAAGCACAGUGAGAUUUUUCUUCUCUUUUUUUUUUCAAGUCUUUUAGUUCCUUUUCCAACUUUAUUUUCUAAUUAAACAUACUUAAAUGAUAAGUACAAUGGUUUAAAAGUUCAUGUUUAGAUUCUGGAGAGGAAAAAUUCAUUCAUGUAUUUUUAUGUUAUAAAUUAGAAAUUAUUUGUAUUUCCACCUUUAUUUAUUUACUUUAAUAAUUGUUUCCAAAUAGUAUUGCAUCUUAAAUAUAUGGGGUUACUAAGCACAUUUUUUAAAUAGAAAAAUUCACCUGUAGUCAUACUAACUGACUUUGCAAUGGGAAGCACAUUGCUUAACCUCUGUUCACAGGCUAUUAAAUCAGAGAAUGCUUUCUGGAUUUCAAGCAGGAAAAUGUAGUUUACAGAGAGAGUGGAUACACUAACAUGCUGUUUAAAUGCAGAGAACUAAAUCCUGCUAGUAAACUAAAGUGUGUGCAGUAAUCCGACAAUACAUGUACUGGUGGUUUUCUGUGAAGGAUUUAGGCAGCACUGGAUGGCAGCAACCAGUCAAAACAAAAGAAAUUUCAAAAUUGAGCAUCAGCAAGUUACAACUUCUCUAGGUAAGGUAGUACUCCAAAUUGUUACAAUCCAGAUUCAGGUCAAGAUGCGGAACUACAACUACAGUUGCUGCUAACAUUCUCUUAAGAUUCAAAUAUUCUCCUGCCUGACUUCAGGCUCUGGACAAUAAUAAUAAAAAAUGAUCCUUAACACUUCUUGCAUUAUAUUGGAGAUGAUUUUAUCUACCUCGCUUGAGUAGACUUGAGGGGGAAAGCAAAUAUACAAAAGCAGUUUCAGUCCUUCUCAGAGGCAUUUGUGUGUCUUAGGCUCAGUGAUGGCCUCCUGCACGCCUGUGGCCAGGAUCUCUCCCAUAUCCUGUUUUCAUGAAGUUCAGCUCUAUAAAGAGUUUUCUUUAUCAACCCUGUGCAGUUUGAGUCAUUAUGAAAAAGGCAGGUUACCUCUCCCUGUUUUUCACCACAAUAUCUCACUCUCAUCUCACUCUGCCACUGAAGACUUCACCCAUUUGGCUCACAGAAAAACAGUUUAUUUAAUGCCCAAGCCAGGUAAGAGUGAGGCAAGAUCUCUGCACUAUUUUCAAUUAUUAAAACAGGUAUUUUGUAUAAUUGGCAGCAUUGUUUUGUGAUCAUUAAUUAGUUGUGAGUGUUGCUAAGUUUUCAUGUAAGAUGGCAAGUAAAAUGUUCUAAUUGCUUCACCUGAUUGGGAAAACUUCCUUAUCUAUGUCUGAAAAAUAGUCUGACCUUCUUAGUUCCAUUUAAAAAAAGAGGGUGUUUCAGUUUUGAAGGCUUUGUAUCCGCAUACUUUCAUUUUAACACAGAUCACUUCAUCUUCUUGUCAAUAGUAAUGGAAACUGAUACAAGUUAAUUUCAUCAGGCUUCAGUUUUGCUUUCUAGAUGGUCUCCCGAGGGGCCAUCAGGGCAAAUGUGAGUUUAUUAUCCUCAAGCUGCUCCACUGUGUCGUCUGUGAUGUGAUUACCUUGCGUGUAGAAGGACAAAUUUAGCGUGUGGCAGGUGGCACACUGAGUGUGACUGAGAGGCUGCAGGGCACGAGUUUGUCUCGCACGUUAGCGUCAAGUGCCUUAUCACAUUACUCCGCCUUAUCACGUUAGUUUUUUUGUCAUCUGGGGCAAAACCAUCGGCGGCUCCAGGUCAGGCAGUAGUUAAAUGUUCUGAGCGGCUGUCCGGGGGUCACUCCCCGCGGUGAAAAAGACGAGUAAAGGUGAAAAGCACAGUUUAGACUUAGAGGUACUAAAGUCUAAAGUUACAGGAUGUCGAAUGCGGGUGUGCGGGGAAUUAGCUCAAAUGGUAGAGCGCUCGCUUAGCAUGCGAGAGGUAGCGGGAUCGAUGCCCGCAUUCUCCACUGUGGUUUUUGCUCCUCGCGGGAGUAAUACUUCCCUGCGAGUAUUUGAGAAAAUACUCAGUCUGACGCGAACAGCGAGAAGAGGAACUGCCACAACGCUCUUCCUUUCGUGAGUACAAAUAACGGGGUGUUUUUUAUUAUUACAUACACACAGCUGGAAAACGUGUCUGUUCCAGUUUGCCUUGUUUCUUGCUGCUUGAUUUGGAAAUGCUAAAUAAAGUACUACAAGCGA